CAAAGCAUUCUUCUUAAAAAGCAAUUCGUUUCUUUCAGGUAGCUGUUCCAUCCUUAAGAACCUCAUUGUGGCUGCCCAAGGCAUGGGGAACUUGGACUUCAAGUUCUUCAGCUUUGUAUAACUGAGUAAAACUCAUGAUGGUAGAUCCUGAAAUAAGAAUGAUUUGUGGGGAUGAUGUUAUAUCUGCAUAUUGGUUUGAUUACUCUGCCAUCCUGAGACUGUGGGCUCACACCCAUCACAGUAUUUUAGGUGCUUUCCUACCAGUUUGGGGACUGCAAUCACUGUGUGAGCAAUGAUCUCAGCCCAUUACAAUGCAAUGAUUUCAAGAGGAUGUUUAAUAGCUUAUUAAUAAGUGAAUCUUAGGGAACUGAAAAAAGUAGCAAUUAUUAGGUGGCAUGUGUUAGAGCUUAAAUAUACAUCAUGCAGGAGACUAAAGCAUUGACACUUUACAGUCCCAUUGGGUAAUUAUUUGGAUUAGGCUGAGUACCCAAUUUCCCAGCUAUGACUUCAUAGGCUGGGAAUCCUGCUCUCUGGUGACAUCACAGUUCCACAAGUCUCCCUCACUAGUUGCCAUGCUGACUACUGUCAGGUGGUGUGGCAUAUAGCUAUGGCACACAGCCUUAAGAAAGGACCCACACUCUUUCAGGAAAUAAGAAUAAUGAUGAAUGAGAGUCUAACAAAGAAAUAAAUGCAGGUCAGCUGCAGAGAAGCCCAUCUGAGCAGGCAAGGAAGACUUGCACAGCUCAAGCCCAAGCAGUGCCCACAGCACAGGAGGCCACCUGCUUUCUCUCAAGGCUGGCAAGCCCUGACAGCAGAGGUGGCAGCUGAGGAAGGCAGCUGGCACCAUCGAUGGGGGAGAGUGGGAGAGACCCUCCCCUUCCUCUCUCCCAGAGCCAGGUCCUCUGCAUCCCUGAGCCAAGGGAAGCUCCUGGAGGGUAGCAGGACUGAAGGAGGUGGGGACCUCCUGAUAUUUCUGGGGAACAUCCCUGCAUCAACAGCAUCAGGUCAGAACUGCCUGCUUUGAGGCCGUGUGAGCUGGGCUGCUCAAUGGGCAGCUCCUGCUGAAGAGGACCAGGAGGAAGGCGGGCAGGGCUACAGAGCAGGAAAAUUCUUCCCCAGACAAGAGUUCAGUCUGGGAGCAGAUGAAAAUGAAGCAACAGCACUAACUAGCCUUAUGCCCACUGUAAGGGACAUGGGGAUGAAUGCUCCUGGCUGGACACAGAGCAUGGCCAGGGCCACCCUAGGUGGUGAGAAAAGUGCUGUCUCUGUGGAUGCCCCUCAAUGCCACUUUGGUUUCUUGUUCCACAAGGAGAUGGGACCGAUAUGGCCCCUGGUCUGAGUGACCCCAGCCUUGCUGCCCACUUCCAGCAAAGGCAGCUGCUCCUAUGGCAGGUUGCUCUCAGUCAGGCUCUGCUUCCCUGCAAGCUUGGCUGGAUUUGUGAGAGCUGUGCAGGGUAUGAACAUCACUGACAAAAGCU
rnacentral:lncRNA from 1 species